GGAAGGAAGAAGAAAGAUCCGAUGUUACUGGGCAACUGUCCAUGCAACGUGCAGGUGAAGCGAUGGUGCCUUAUGCUGCGCUAAAUCUGAGUAAACCCCGGAAAAUUCCAAGGAAGGUGAAUCAAGAAAGGACGCUGUAUGCACAGACCAAGCAGAAACCAAUGCCUGGUAAAGUGAUUUACGCGCCUGUCGCUACGACGGGAAACAACACAGAAGGAAACACAAAUCGUUGGCAUAAUUACACGGACAACUCACAGCCAAUGAAGCAAAUGCGAGGGGCAGAUGGUAUCUAUUCGGAAUGGAUUCCCAAGUAGUUUCCGUGCUCAAAGUGACGUCUUGUUAUUUGUGUAGUUACUUA